rnacentral:rRNA from 1 species
CCUACGGGCGGCUGCAGUGGGGAAUAUUGGACAAUGGGGGAAACCCUGAUCCAGCAAUGCCGCGUGUGUGAAGAAGGCCUGCGGGUUGUAAAGCACUUUCGGUUGGGAAGAAAAGUUUGGCGCCAAUACCGCCGAACCUUGACGUUACUGACAGAAGAAGCACCGGCUAACUCUGUGCCAGCAGCCGCGGUAAUACAGAGGGUGCAAGUGUUAGUCGGAAGCACUGAGCGGAACAUGUGAGUAGGUGGUCAAAUCCCCUGGCUUAACCUGGGAACUGCAUUCGAUACUACAUGGCUAGAGUAUGGUAGAGGGAAGUGGAAUUUCCGGUGUAGCGGUGAAAUGCGUAGAUAUCGGAAGGAACACCAAUGGCGAAGGCAGCUUCCUGGACUAAUACUGACACUGAGGCACGAAAGCGUGGGUAGCAAACAGGAUUAGAUACCCCAGUAGUC